GCAGUGAUGGUCCAGUGGUAGAAUUCUCACCUUCCAUGCGGGAGACCUGGGUUGGAUUCCCGGCCAGUGCA
rnacentral:tRNA from 1 species